UCCCAGAGUCUUCCUCCAGUGUACCAGAAAAAUUGCAUUCUACGUGGGCUUGGAGAAUGAGUGCAAGUUUUUAUUGAGUGGUGGAAGUAGGUCUCAGCAGAU